UACGUAGGGUGCAGGCGUUAAUCGGAAUUACUGGGCGUAAAGGGCGCGUAGGCGGCCUGCUAAGUCGGAUGUGAAAUCCCUCGGCUCAACCGAGGAACUGCAUCCGAUACUGGCGGGCUGGAGUACGGCAGAGGGGGGUGGAAUUCCACGUGUAGCAGUGAAAUGCGUAGAUAUGUGGAGGAACACCGAUGGCGAAGGCAGCCCCCUGGGCUAGUACUGACGCUCGAUGCACGAAAGCGUGGGGGAGCAAACAGG
rnacentral:rRNA from 1 species